GGUCACUGCUAUCGGGGUUCGACUAAGCCAUGCAAGUCGAGAGGGGUAAAGCCCUCGGCGAACUGCUCAGUAACACGUGGAUAACCUGACCUAGGGUGGAGGAUAACCCCGGGAAACUGGGGAUAAUACUCCAUAGGCUACGGAAGCUGGAAGGCUCUGUAACCGAAAGCUCCGGCGCCCUAGGAUGGGUCUGCGGCCGAUUAGGUUGUUGUUGGGGUAACGGCCCAACAAGCCGAUCAUCGGUACGGGUUGUGGGAGCAAGAGCCCGGAGAUGGAUUCUGAGACAUGAAUCCAGGCCCUACGGGGCGCAGCAGGCGCGAAAACUUUACAAUGCGGGAAACCGUGAUAAGGGGACCCCGAGUGCCUGUACACGCAGGCUGUUCAGGUGUUUAAAACGCAUCUGGAGA
rnacentral:rRNA from 1 species